rnacentral:rRNA from 1 species
GACGUAGGAUGCAAGCGUUGUCCGGAUUUAUUGGGCGUAAAGAGAGCGUAGGCGGUUACUUAAGUCUGAAGUUAAAGACUGGGGCUCAACCCCAGGAGUGCUUCGGAAACUGGGUGACUUGAGGACGGAAGAGGGCAGUGGAAUUCCCAGUGUAGCGGUGAAAUGCGUAGAUAUUGGGAGGAACACCAGUGGCGAAAGCGACUGCCUGGUCCGUUUCUGACGCUGAGGCUCGAAAGCCAGGGGAG